GCUGGGCGUAGUGGCGCACGCCUGUAAUCCCAGCUACUCGGGAGGCUGAGAUAGGAGACUCGCUUGAACCCAGGAGGCGGAAGUUGCAGUGAGCCGAGAUUGUGCCACUGUACUCCAGCCCGGCGACAGAGCAAGCGGAGGUUGUAGUGAGCCCAGAUCACGCCACUGCACUCUAGCCUGCGUGAUAUAGCGAGACUCCAUCUCAA
rnacentral:SRP_RNA from 1 species